GAUGAACGCUAGCGGCAGGCCUAACACAUGCAAGUCGAGGGGUAACAUAGAAAAGCUUGCUUUUCUGAUGACGACCGGCGCACGGGUGCGUAACGCGUAUACAACCUACCUUUUAGCGGGGAAUAGCCCAGGGAAACUUGGAUUAAUGCCCCAUAGUAUAUAGACUUCUCCUGAAGUUUAUAUUAAACAUUUAUGGCUAUUAGAUGGGUAUGCGUCCUAUUAGUUAGUUGGUAAGGUAACGGCUUACCAAGGCAGCGAUAGGUAGGGGUCCUGAGAGGGAGAUCCCCACGCUGGUACUGAGACACGGACCAGACUCCUACGGGAGGCAGCAGUGAGGAAUAUUGGACAAUGGGCGAGAGCCUGAUCCAGCCAUGCCGCGUGCAGGAAGACUGCCCUAUGGGUUGUAAACUGCUUUUACAGAGGAAGAACCACCCCCACGUGUGGGGGUUUGACGGUACUCUGCGAAUAAGGAUCGGCUAACUCCGUG
rnacentral:rRNA from 1 species